GAAAGUGAUCUGGUAUUGGGAUCUACCUCCCCAGUGAUCACCAAGGUUGUAUCACGUAAACUGGCUGGGUGGGCAUACCCCUCUCCUUCACCACUCCAUUUACUUUUCUCCCAAAGAUGUCCAUUCACUCUAGUUAGAAGACUAGACACAAACACAGAAUGCUGGAGGAGAAAGUCCAACCAGAGUUGAUUCAAAAGACCAAGGGGUGAGGUAGCUAAACAUGGAGACAACUUUUCCACGAAGUUCAUUGUGAAAAUGUGCAUAGACAU
rnacentral:sRNA from 1 species